GCGUCCUUUAUUUCCUGGCGGCCCCUGCCGUCUGGCUUGGCCCUUGGGUAUGCUGGGACGCCAAACUAAUCACAGCGAGCGGGCACCCGCCCUGGUCUGGCACUCCGCAGGGUACCCGUGCCUGCGGGGUGCCGCGGCAGCCCCUUGUUACAUUG
rnacentral:snoRNA from 1 species